rnacentral:tRNA from 1 species
GUGUACUUAGCUCAAUGGUUAGAGCAUCACUCAUGAAUGCUGAUUAUGUGAGUUCAACUCUCACAGUACAUG